ensembl:lncRNA
CUUAAGAUGAAGAGCUGCUCUUUUCUUUGGCUAUUUUGCACAUUCUCUUUGUCUCACAAGUAAGAGAAAAUUUUCUUUUAAAUCUUCAUUUUUAUUAAUAAGGCUUUUUCUUUACCAAUGACACUGAGGGAAACUAUUCUGAGUGGUUUUAAAUUAUAGGAAAUUAACAUUCAUCUGAAACCCUUGAAGUUCUUCAAACGGUUUCAUUUGGAGGUUGUCUGAACAGAUGCACUCCUGGGAUGCUCAUGUACUGAGCAGAAAGUUUGUGGAUGCAUCUCAGCUGAUCAAUUUACAUAAUGAUGUUGGUGGAAUAUCACUGUGUGUGGGAACUGCUGAGUCCCGGCCUGCACCACUGAUGGAGCACCUGGGAAAGGACCCGGUCAGCCCUGGGAGCACAGCUGGAGGCAAUUCAGCUGUGGGACUGGAAGGGGUGCAGCCUGGGUGCACCUCUCAUAGACCUCAUUUAAGGGCUGACUGCCCCUCGGGAAGGGUUUCUUCCUGGAGGUCCCUCCUUGGUGAGGCUUUCCCUGCAAACCUGCAAUCUUCUGACACGGUGAGUAAUCUUCCUUUAUAGCUCCUCUCCAUUGUGCUGGUCCUUCUGUCAUCACACCUUAGUUGUAACGCUUUUCCCAUCGUAUUGAUCUGUCCAAUUGCUACACAAGGAAAUCUCUUCAUUCCCAGUAAGCCUUGGAAUGCUGCCUGUGCAGGGGAAGCACCUCGAUGAAUUGCCUGGGUGGUUUGAUGUGCUGCUCCCUAAUAGCACCAGUAAAAGGGGAAAGGUUUCAUGUGAUCCAGUUCUGUAGGACCCCAGUAGCACCAGGAGAGUGGGACGUGUGUCAUCCCUGCUGCAAUAAAAGAGCCAUUUGCUGAUGAGGUAAUCAGGGCUGAACUACUACUUUUUAAUUUCUUUAAUUGAAUUUGCUUGCGGAAAAUUAAGAGCAGGCAAUGAAAAAUUCAUAAGGUGCUGAGAUCAAAUAGAGGAAAAAGCAAACGGAUUUGUGUCAGAUCUCACCAACGAGAAACGUCUGAUGAGUUCCUCUACUAAGAAAGGAAACUUUCUCGUGUUAAGGUGAAUUAUGGCUUCCAUCAGUGUGCCGAUAAAAGGAACGGAGUAUCAGCUUUCCACGUUCUCAGAGUCUACGGACAAAUGAACCCAAACUGCUGGGAGACGUCCUGCCAGACAGAGAUGAAUAGGACAGCCGGCGGGCACACACUGCUGGGCACGGACCCAGGCUCAGUGCUCAGAGGGACUACUGCUGACUCACCAGGUAGGAGAACAGAGCUCCCGAGGCGUGGGGUGAUGGAAGUCAGUCUGUUUGCUUAUUUAAUGCCAUGGGGGAUAGAAGACAUAGCAGCUUGGUUUCUUUCUUGAUUGUUUUUAGGAUUUUUGGGAUAUAAGGAGUGUGUUUUGAGGUUAAAGGAAAGGAUGGAGCAUCCUCUGGUUGUUUCACAGCCUGUUGUUGGAGCAUUGGACCCAUUGGAUGGACAUGUGUUGUCCUCUUGUGAAAUCCUAAACAAAAUGAACUGAAGGGAUUCAUCUGAGUGCAGCAGAACCGUGUCAGGGCUCAGGAUGGGAUUUCUGAGUUUCUUUAGUUUCAGUGGGAUUUCUUGAUCUUACCCAGCAGAUAUGAUGUUGCAAGGUGAGAUGUGGUGGUUUUCUCAAUAAAAGCCAUGUGUGUCUGUGCAGUGACUGCAGUGAUGUCUGUGCCUGCUGCUACCUGCCUAUCCCAAGGGGGUUUGGCUUGUGGUAAGCAGAGCUAUGGCUGCCCCAAGGGGAAUGCAGCAGGCAGACAUCUCCCAGUGUCUUACCCCACGUGCUCCUUUUGCACAGAUUUAUGGAAGCAAUAUGUUUGGACAUUUCGUAGCUAAUAUAGCAGAAUUGUUUCAGAGGAAAAAAAAAAACAAACAACUUAGUGUGGGUGAAUGGCAUGAACAAAAGCCCUGCUGCCAGAUGAGAAGUUGUAUUUAUUAUUUCUACAAGUUCUUUUCCCUUUGUUUCCUCUCCCUGUUAGAUGAGCUGGCUCUGCCCAGGGAUAGAUGGUACAGAUAUUCCUUUCCCCUCCUGCCCUGUGCUUUGGUGGCUGGUUGUGUGCUGGAGCUUGGUAGCUCAGGCGCUGCCCAGGGAUAGAUGGCUGAGCCAGGAGGCUGAAUCCCUCAGCUGAAGUGCAAGGCAUCAUAGUUCAAUCAAAAUCUCUGCAUCUUGGGUCCCUUCUUAUGACAGUAAAGAAGCAAAGAUUCAAGUAGAGGCAUGAGUGUAUUCUGCCAAUCUGAAUCUGGUUUUUUU